AAGUGAUGUCAAGGCCACUCUGAACUGAACUGUGAGACAGUAUCUCAAAAGAAAAAAAGAAAAAGAAAAAGAAGAUGAGAUAGUGAGGGGUAGGGAAAGACUAAGAAUAACCAGGAAGAGUUGGUAGGAGAGAAGGCACACUAAAUGAGAGAGCAGGUUUAACGGGAAACCCGUGAAACUUAAAGUACUGUAAUCAUCUAAUACCAAUAAAGAAGAAUCUUAAAGAAGAGUAAGAAACUAAAAACAAAGAAUAGAAAGAAAAAGAAAACCAACAGAAAGCUUCGCACAGCUGUUACAGCAGUAACCCAGGUCUUUCACACAGCGCCCCCUUCACUGAGGUCGCGUCUGAUUUCCAUCGGCCCGCAAUUUCCUCCUGCGGACCCGACUGAGGACUGUGGCUCCCCCUAGCACAUCUCCAGGUUUCGAGCCCCCAGCGUGCCUUCCGGCAGGCCUUCGCGGAUCCGAUUAUCCUCCUCGAUUUGGAGGCUUGUGGCCACAGCAUGAUCAGAGAAUGGGAAAAUGGCUGUCCAAGGAUUGGAACACAGAGGGCUAAAGAAAGGGACACUGAAAAGAGCAAAUCAAACAAGAAUGGAAAGUUAGUCCGAAUCCUUAGCACCAACUGUUCCUACUUACAUCAGGCUUCUUCUCCGUGUGGCUAAGAGGACCUAGGACCUGCGUUAUCAUUGGGGGGAUGGACCAAAUUCCACAAAUCAGACCCACGCAUUGCCCUAGGAAAAUAUUCCCCUCUGGAAAAAGAGAUCCUGGUAAGUGUCUGGAGUUCACACUUAGAAGGGCCUCUUGAUGCCCACCAGUGAGCUGGGGGCCCCUAGAUUCCAUACCCACUGACUGUAAAGAAGUCUCCCCAGCAGGACUCUGGUUGGCUGGGUCUGCUGGCGGAUUCCGCACUUGCACAGCAAAAGCCAGUACCCUCCUAUUUAAAAGUCCCAAUUAGGACUAUAACCCUAAGUAAUUACAGAUGAUGGAAAUGGCCUCUUUUGAGCCCUGAACUUACAC